GAUGAACGCUGGCGGCGUGCCUAAUACAUGCAAGUCGAGCGAACAGACGAGGAGCUUGCUCCUCUGAUGUUAGCGGCGGACGGGUGAGUAACACGUGGAUAACCUACCUAUAAGACUGGGAUAACUUCGGGAAACCGGAGCUAAUACCGGAUAACAUGUUGAACCGCAUGGUUCAACAGUGAAAGACGGUCUUGCGGUCACUUAUAGAUGGAUCCGCGCCGCAUUAGCUAGUUGGUAAGGUAACGGCUUACCAAGGCGACGAUGCGUAGCCGACCUGAGAGGGUGAUCGGCCACACUGGAACUGAGACACGGUCCAGACUCCUACGGGAGGCAGCAGUAGGGAAUCUUCCGCAAUGGGCGAAAGCCUGACGGAGCAACGCCGCGUGAGUGAAGAAGGUCUUCGGAUCGUAAAACUCUGUUAUGAGGGAAGAACAAAUGUGUAAGUAACUAUGCACGUCUUGACGGUACCUAAUCAGAAAGCCACGGCUAACUACGUG
rnacentral:rRNA from 1 species